rnacentral:tRNA from 1 species
AAGAUUUUAGUUAAUAUAUAACUUUAGUAUGUCACGCUAAUAUAAUCUAAUUAUAGAUAAAUCUUA